rnacentral:pre_miRNA from 1 species
CAAGUACUCCCUCUGUUUCAAAUUACUCGUCGUAGAAAUGGAUGUAUCUACAACUAAAAUACAUCUAGAUACAUCCAUUUCUGUGACGAGUAAUUCGGAACAGAGGGAGUAACUC